CGGCGCGUCUUAAGCAUGCAAGUCGAACGAGAGCGAUUGGUGCUUGCACUGGCCAAUCUAGUGGCGAACGGGUGUGUAACACGUGGGUACCUGCCCAUCAGAGGGGGAUAACAUCCGGAAACGGAUGCUAAAACCGCAUAGGUCUUCGAGCCGCAUGGCUUGAAGAGGAAAAGAGGCGCAAGCUUCUGCUGAUGGAUGGACCCGCGGUGCAUUAGCUAGUUGGUGAGGUAACGGCUCACCAAGGCAGUGAUGCAUAGCCGACCUGAGAGGGUGAUCGGCCACAUUGGGACUGAGACACGGCCCAAACUCCUACGGGAGGCAGCAGUAGGGAAUCUUCCGCAAUGGACGCAAGUCUGACGGAGCAACGCCGCGUGAGUGAAGAAGGUUCUCGGAUCGUAAAACUCUGUUGUUAGAGAAGAACAAGUGCUAGA
rnacentral:rRNA from 1 species